GACGAACGCUGGCGGCGUGCUUAACACAUGCAAGUCACGGGGGCUCGCAAGAGCAACCGGCGAACGGGUGCGUAACACGUGAGCAACCUGCCGAUCUGAGGGGGAUAGCCGGCCCAACGGCCGGGUAAUACCGCAUACGUUCUCGAGGGGGAGUCCUCUUGGGAAGAAACCUCCGGGGCAGAUCGAGGGGCUCGCGGCCUAUCAGCUAGUUGGCGGUGUAAUGGACCACCAAGGCAUGACGGGUAGCUGGUCUGAGAGGAUGGCCAGCCACAUUGGGACUGAGAGACGGCCCAGACUCCUACGGGAGGCAGCAGUGGGGAAUCUUGCGCAAUGGCCGAAAGGCUGACGCAGCGACGCCGCGUGUGGGAUGAAGCAUUUCGGUGUGUAAACCACUGUUGCCCGGGACGAACAUCCUCUUUCGAGAGGACUGACGGUACCGGGUGAGGAAGCACCGGCUAACUCCGUGCCAGCAGCCGCCGCCGUAAU
rnacentral:rRNA from 1 species